UACGGGGGGGGGCAAGCGUUGUUCGGAAUUACUGGGCGUAAAGGGCUCGUAGGUGGCCAACUAAGUCGGACGUGAAAUCCCUCAGCUUAACUGGGGAACUGCGUCUGAGGCUGGCAGGCUUGAGUGCAGGAGAGGAACGCGGAAUUCCAGGUGUAGCGGUGAAAUGCGUAGAUAUCUGGAGGAACACCGGUGGCGAAGGCGGCGUCCUGGACCAACACUGACACUGAUGAGCGAAAGCCAGGGGAGCAAACGGG
rnacentral:rRNA from 1 species